rnacentral:rRNA from 2 species
AAAAUGGAGAGUUUGAUCCUGGCUCAGGAUGAACGCUGGCGGUAUGCUUAACACAUGCAAGUCGAACGGUCUCUUCGGAGAUAGUGGCGGACGGGUGAGUAACGCGUGAGAAUCUAGCUUCAGGUCGGGGACAACAGUUGGAAACGGCUGCUAAUACCGGAUGUGCCGAAAGGUAAAAGGCUUGCUGCCUGAAGAUGAGCUCGCGUCUGAUUAGCUAGUAGGUGUGGUAAGAGCGCACCUAGGCGACGAUCAGUAGCUGGUCUGAGAGGACGAUCAGCCACACUGGGACUGAGACACGGCCCAGACUCCUACGGGAGGCAGCAGUGGGGAAUUUUCCGCAAUGGGCGAAAGCCUGACGGAGCAAUACCGCGUGAGGGAGGAAGGCUCUUGGGUUGUAAACCUCUUUUCUCAGGGAAGAAUGCAAUGACGGUACCUGAGGAAUAAGCAUCGGCUAACUCCGUGCCAGCAGCCGCGGUAAUACGGAGGAUGCAAGCGUUAUCCGGAAUGAUUGGGCGUAAAGCGUCCGCAGGUGGCAAUGAAAGUCUGCUGUUAAAGAGUUUGGCUUAACCAAAUAAAAGCGGUGGAAACUACAUAGCUAGAGUACGUUCGGGGCAGAGGGAAUUCCUGGUGUAGCGGUGAAAUGCGUAGAGAUCAGGAAGAACACCGGUGGCGAAAGCGCUCUGCUAGGCCUGUACUGACACUGAGGGACGAAAGCUAGGGGAGCGAAUGGGAUUAGAUACCCCAGUAGUCCUAGCCGUAAACGAUGGAUACUAGGCGUGGCUUGUAUCGACCCGAGCCGUGCCGGAGCUAACGCGUUAAGUAUCCCGCCUGGGGAGUACGCACGCAAGUGUGAAACUCAAAGGAAUUGACGGGGGCCCGCACAAGCGGUGGAGUAUGUGGUUUAAUUCGAUGCAACGCGAAGAACCUUACCAAGACUUGACAUGUCGCGAACCUCUUUGAAAGGAGAGGGUGCCUUAGGGAGCGCGAACACAGGUGGUGCAUGGCUGUCGUCAGCUCGUGUCGUGAGAUGUUGGGUUAAGUCCCGCAACGAGCGCAACCCUCGUUUUUAGUUGCCAGCAUUAAGUUGGGCACUCUAGAGAGACUGCCGGUGACAAACCGGAGGAAGGUGGGGAUGACGUCAAGUCAGCAUGCCCCUUACGUCUUGGGCUACACACGUACUACAAUGCUACGGACAAAGGGCAGCAAGCUAGUGAUAGCAAGCAAAUCUCAUAAACCGUAGCUCAGUUCAGAUCGCAGGCUGCAACUCGCCUGCGUGAAGUCGGAAUCGCUAGUAAUUGCAGGUCAGCAUACUGCAGUGAAUUCGUUCCCGGGCCUUGUACACACCGCCCGUCACACCAUGGAAGCUGGCAACGCCCGAAGUCAUUACUCCAACCUUUCGAGGAGGAGGAUGCCUAAGGCAGUGCUGGUGACUGGGGUGAAGUCGUAACAAGGUAGCCGUACCGGAAGGUGUGGCUGGAUCACCUCCUUUU